rnacentral:lncRNA from 1 species
GGAUGCCCUUUUGGCGCGGCUUCAGCUAGCUUGUUAAGAUCACAAUCUACACAUGCGCAUUCCAUCGUCUCUCCUGAUCCAGCAGUCGAUCGGACCGACCUGCACACGCAUUUCACGUGCAUGCGCACCCAACAAACUCUAGCUCAUCUCGACCAAACGGAUCGAUCACUGCUAAGUUUCUUCUAGCUCACCAUGUAGUUAACUUAGGGGGUUAGAUUUCAGUUAGCUUCGACUUGGUGCGAAGCUUUCAACAGUCGACACGUAGGGUUACCAGGAUGUCCGGCUAUAUAUAUAUAUAUAGUCUGGCCGUGAACGAGACCGACGUGGAUGAUGGCGAUGCUGGAUAGAUGGAUGUCCGGAGCGAGCGCCGUUGCACCUGGAAUGGAGCACUGUUAGCCUUUAGGAAUACACAAAGAACCCAGAGCAAGUGGAUAUAAUAGAUGCCGAUCGAUGCUUUUGCUUCGAUGGCGAUACGGUUCUGGGGAUGUUUGUAUAUUUGGGUGGACCGUAUUGGGCAACUGGUGUGGUGUAUCUUUGGGGGAGAAGUGAAGCAAAAGGAGUAUACGCCAUGUGGUGCGUCAUCUCGCCCGGCAGCAUCCGACGUCGUCGUCUGAUCCAUCUCUCUUUCUAUUUAUUUAUUUUAUUUUUAUUUUUUUGUUUGCGAAGUUUGCACACUCAACGGAGCUUGCAGUACUGUACUCUGUUCUGCUGUCCAUAGAGAUCCCAAAGGCCCACAGACCGUUCCAUUGCAUUUAGUCGGUUUGUGGAUAAGUGUUGCUCCUACAUGACAAUCUACAGAACGUCCGUUACUUAUAAGUUCCCUACUUAUAAUUAAGGUCGUCAAAUUCUGAAGCACCAGGGCAGGCCAGGAAUUCAUUGAAGGCGUGUGUAUCUGCUAAAUCUGAAGAGAGCAGCAGCGCAUAGCAUAAUCAGAUAUCCCGGUAUAUGCCCACACAAGGAAGCUACCUUUUUUCAGAAACCAUUUGAUUUGCUGGUCUUAUCAUGGUCGGACUCUUGUUAGUCUUAUCAAAUCGCACCACAUCCGGGUCCAGCGAAAAAUGGACGUGGACCCGACACCUUUUAACGGGAAAAAAAUUGCAUGGGCGAUGGGUGCAGCGCGCGGCCCGUGCGACCCCCGCUAGAUUGAUGCCACGUGGAUGCUCAUUGCAUCGGACGGCAGGUCGAAUCGACUCGGCUCUGUGCUUUCCGUCGGCUCCGCAUCGCAGGAUGGAUCGGCUCCACAUUGACUCAGCUCGUCCAAGUCCAUGUUGAAUACG